GAUGAACGCUGGCGGCGUGCUUAACACAUGCAAGUCGAACGGAAAGGCCCUGCUUUUGUGGGGUGCUCGUGUGGCGAACGGGUGAGUAACACGCGUGUAACCCGUCCCUGUCUUUGGGAUAUAUCUACGAAACUGGGGAUCAUACCGGAUAGAAGCUCCUGCUGCACGGUGGGGGUUGGUAAGUUUCGGCGGUUGUGGAUGGACUCGCGGCUUACCAGCUUGAUAGUGAGGUAGUGGCUUACCAAGCUUGUGACGGCUAGCCGGCCUGAGAGGGUGACCGGCCACAUGGGGACUACGAUACGGCCCAGACGCCUACGGUAGGCAGCAGUGGGGAAUAUUGCACAGUGGGCGGGAGCCUGAGACAGCAACGCCGCGUGCGGGAUGACGGCCUUCGAGUGAUAAACCGCUUUCGCCUGUGACGAAGCGUGAGUGACGGUAAUGGGUAAAAAAGCACCGGCUAACUACGUG
rnacentral:rRNA from 1 species